rnacentral:rRNA from 1 species
AUUGAACGCUGGCGGCAGGCCUAACACAUGCAAGUCGAACGAGUGGCGGACGGGUGAGUAAUGUCUGGGAAACUGCCUGAUGGAGGGGGAUAACUACUGGAAACGUUGGCUAUACCCGCAUAUCCUCUGAUAUGUCCCCAGGGGAUUAGCUGGUUGGUGUGGUAACGGCGCACCAAGGCGACGAUCCCUAGCUGGUCUGAGAGGAUGACCAGCCACACUGGAACUGAGACACGGUCCAGACUCCUACGGGAGGCAGCAGUGGGGAAUAUUGCACAAUGGGCGCAAGCCUGAUGCAGCCAUGCCGCGUGUAUGAAGAAGGCCUUCGGGUUGUAAAGUACUUUCAGCGGGGAGGCGUUACCCGCAGAAGAAGCACCGGCUAACUCCGUGCCAGCCGCCGCGGUAAUUC